rnacentral:rRNA from 1 species
GAGUUUGAUCCUGGCUCAGGAUAAACGCUGGCGGCGUGCUUCAGGCAACAAGUCGAACGGACCUUCGGGUCAGUGGCGGACGGGUGAGUAACACGUGAGCAACCUGCCCAGAAGUGGGGAAUAACCCACCGAAAGGUGAGCUAAUACCGCAUGUGAUGAGCCUUCCCUGGAGGGCUCAUUAAAGGCUUCGGCCGCUUUUGGAGGGGCUUGCGCUCGAUUAGCUAGUUGGUGGGGUAACGGCCUACCAAGGCGACGAUCGAUAGCUGGUCUGAGAGGAUGGUCAGCCACACGGGGACUGAGAUACGGCCCCGACUCCUACGGGAGGCAGCAGCUAGGAAUCUUGGGAAUGGGCGAAAGCCUGACCCAGCAACGCCGCGUGGGCGAUGAAGGCCUUAGGGUCGUAAAGCCCUUUUGUGGGAGACGAUGAUGACGGUACCCCACGAAUAAGCCACGGCUAACUACGUGCCAGCAGCCGCGGUAAUAC